rnacentral:rRNA from 1 species
UACGAAGGGGGCUAGCGUUGCUCGGAAUGACUGGGCGUAAAGGGCGCGUAGGCGGUUUGUCGCGUCGAAUGUGAAAACCCGGGGCUCAACCCCGGGCCUGCAUUCGAUACGGGCAGACUAGAGUUCGGUAGGGGAGUCUGGAAUUCCUGGUGUAGCGGUGAAAUGCGCAGAUAUCAGGAGGAACACCAAUGGCGAAGGCAGCUCGCUGGGACGGUACUGACGCUGAGACGCGAAAGCGUGGGGAGCAAACAGG